UGUGAAUAGAAGAGAGGUCCUGGCAGUUCCUUAAUUAUCUAUUGUCAGUCCUUUAUCUUCCCCCGGUCACAUGGGAGGGCCUCGGACUCCUCCCCACCACACACACUUGUGUCUCGCCUCCACCAGGAGAAUUUAGCACCAGACUCUGCCUCUCUCUAUUAUUCCAUUCAUAAGGCGAGCAGCGUAAUCAUGCUGCUGGCUCCUUAAUCAUGUUGCUGGGGCCUGCCAACAGUACAACCUCUCUGCUUCAUCUAUACCGAGGCACCUGAUGACUGAUUGAGGCCACUGGUGGUGCUGCACCUUGUGCCGGUUGUAGGUCCUCAUCCUGCAUUCUCCUGCUGGCUCUCUCUCUCUGCCUCCAGAAUAAUCAGUGUACUUCUGUGUGGCAGUGGACGGCAGCAGUUAGAAAAUGGAUUUUCUCUCAGGGAAAGAAGACUUCCUAAACUGCAAAAUGGACUUGUCACAGUAGUGCAGUAAGCAAAAUGUAAAUAUAGAAGGGUUUUAAUUACAGUACAAAAACAAACACUUUGGAUAAAUUACAGGAUGUCUAAAUUUGCCUCUUCUGUGGGAUUAAUCUCUCGAUUAGUUUUUUUUGCCAUUAUUUGAUGGAAAGGGGGAGAGAGCGAGAGCAAGAGGGGAUGACAUGCAGCAAACCCGGGCCGCUACGAUUACACGACGGUGGUAGCAGACAACCAUCUGCUGCAUGCUGGAUGCGAAGCCAGGAGGAGAGAGUUCAGUUGGGUGUCUGCUGAUGAGCAGGCCACACUGACAGGGAGACAGCCACGGCUGUCUGUCGCAGUGAAGGAUUCCAGGAGAAAGAGACAGAACAAAUGAUCGCUGACCUUUUUAUUGACCUGGUAACAUCCGGAUCACAGGUGACAUAUGGCGAUGGCAGCAGCCCAGGAUGUGGUUUAAGAUGCUGACAGCAGAUGUAGUGUCCCCUUUAGUUGUCCUAUUGUCAUGCUGAGCUGGCUGUCAUGACACCGAGACCGAAGGACGCCUGUGGACACUCAGCAGUGAUAGAGACGCAAGCAGAGUCCUGUCAUCCAGACACAGCCAACUGAUCCUGUCCUGAUAGCGCCCAGGUCGACCAUGACAGGAGCCACCACCUCCGCUUAGCAUGCACCUUGUCUGUCCUUUUGCUGUUCAGUGUGCUGCGAAAAGGCAGCAGAGGGGGGGCUCUUCAAGGUCGACCCGAGAAGGAAAAACAAGGAGGAAAAAGUCUCAAAGUUAAACUCAUAGGUCCUCCUCAACAGCUUUUACACCUUUCCUGACACAUUUUGUCAGAGUGUGAGUAUAACAUCAGUGCUGUCAGACCAAAAAUUCACAAACACAAUAUUGUGUUCAUUUGUGUCAUGCUAUACUGGUUUCAGCACAUUAGGGAUUUUAGCCUAUAGGGUUUUUGAUUCUCAACCAUAUAAUUUAACCUGAGCCCUGUGAGAUUAACUAACUCCUAUCCACAACUGGAACAUUCUGUCUGCCUGUUUAGCUCUUCCAUUAACCAGAAGGUAAGCUAAAAAGAAAAUCCAAUCUAACUUUAUUUUUCAUCUUUGAGGUGGCAUCAACAGAUUCAGCUCCUUCACAUCUUGUGCUGGACAUUUUUUCACAAUUUGCUGACAUUUUAUAGACCAUGGGAAUAAUCAAGGAAAUAAUCUGUAGAUCAAAUUGAUAAUGAAAAUUAUCGUUAUUUGCAGCCCUGUUUUACAUGAUGCCUGUUUUACAAGUACCUUUUUAAAUAGAUUUAUGCACAAAUUUUUCUAGAUAUAAUCUGAUAAGGGCCUUGGUAUCAAUCUGAAAUGUGUCUAUACUGGUUGAGUAUCACAAACUGUCAUUGGGCUUUUUUGUUAACAGAAAGAGGGUUUUGUAGACAAGACAUGUUCAUAUUCCUCAAGGCGAGUUAUUGGAAAUAAAAAAAAUAAUUGUUUUAGUUUCUGAGCAGAACCACAGAAAUCGUAGUGGCACUGGUAUCGAAGAAUUUCAGACGAUCCCCAACCCUACUGCUUUUUUCAAUAAUAUUCAUUUAAUGUAUUUCAGGGCUGCAACUGCAACAACAGAAAUCAUUGAAAAAGUACCAUCACAAUUUCCUAGAUCACAAGCUGACAUCCUCAAAUUUUUUUUGGUCUGACCAACAGUCCAAAACCCCCAAAUAUUUAGUUUACAACAAUGUAAAAAGCAGCAAAUCCCCACAUUUGAGAAGUUAGAACAUUCUGCAUUUUCGCUUGAAUUUGCUGUUGACUAAUCAAUUAAUCAACCAAUUAUUUCAGUUCUAAUGUAUUUGAAAAUCUCACAAAAGCCCCCCUAAACCACUAAAAAAAACUGUAUUGGGAAGCACUACUAGGGUAGCAAUAUGAAUGUGGAGCUCAUUUUACUUUCAAACUUUAAUAGUGAAAAUUAUGUCUCUAUACAAAACUAUAUGUAUUCUCACGCUACAUAUUCAGGGUUUAACCAGAGACAGACCACAGACAUUUAAGAUAAAACUCAUCAUAUCAUUUUCUUUUCCGUAACAUCUGUCCAGACUCCUUUGAACAUGGAGCCUUUGAACAGUCUGUUACCAAACACAGAAAGUUAGCCCUGCAGUUCCAUCUCAACUUUUCCCCAAACUACUUAAAGUGAAACACGGGUGUGGUUCUUGAGCCAUAAAAAGGCAUGAAAUGACCGUCACAUUUCUCUAAGCAAGCUCUGCAGCAUAUUCAAAAUGCAUUUGUGGCCAAAUGACUGCAUUGUGCUUCUGUAUCUCAUCACUACAGACUUCCGACUACAGCAGUUUUAUAACACUGUCAGUAACAUCCAGCUGAGAUGUUUGUGGGAAAUAAGGUUGAUAUAUGUUAGCUGUCCCAAUGUUAGUACACUGCUAAGAAGCUGUUUGAUUUGUUUGCUUGGAUGUUUUUAGGCAAUGUCUUUGAUGUUAGAUUUUCUUUUGAGAAAGUUAAAGGUUUUUCUAAGUGAAACUCUUUGAUUAUUUAGCCAUGGAAGAUAUUGCUGGUCAUGCUAAUCAGACUCUAAUCUUUAUUUUACAAACAAGAUGAUGUUGCUGUUGCAGGAAAAACAUCCUGCGUCCUAUGUAUCAACAGGUAUUUUUUUAAAGUAUUUCUUGACAAGUUUUAAAGUUGAACUGAAAUUUGAAGUCUUCUCACAUGUGUAAGGAAAUAUAAACUAUAAUGACACUGCAGCUAUUGUGCAUGUUUUUGGAUGUGUUUGUGGAAACUGCAGCUAAGCUUCAGGCCUCUGGGUGGGUGCUGGACUGAUAUUUUAGAGCCGGCCUUGAUAGGAGAUGUGCAGUUCAUUUCUGUGGUGCGUAACUGCCUGGAGCAUGUCAUAGCCCUGUAUUACUGUUCAACAUGCACACGGUUACGUAUGUUAGCAAUUAAAGCCGUCUGUACCUUUAUAAUAGUCAACCUUUGGGAGGACCCAUUAUGCUGCAAGUUCACUAAGAAAUUGCAAGCUAGCGAGCUAACUAGCCUCCAUUUGGAAAGAGAAAGCUAGUUAGCCUACUUGCUAUCAUUAGCACUGAUUCCCACUUAAUGUUACUUUUCGUAAUUUUAACACCUGCUGAGUAAUCUGCAGCUCCAACACACUCAAUGUUGUGUUCAUCCAAAACAAAACACAGAAAGCACAGGGUCUAGCUAGUGUUAAAUGUUUCUCUUUCGUCGGUUCAGAUGUGGUGAUGGCAAAUGACCAGUCUGUCAGAACUCACACAGUCCUGUAACAGCACUCUGUAGGUUACCCUGUGAUUCGAAUCACGACACAGAGCAAUGUUUGGAGUCCUGGAGUACUGUAGGGAGCCUAGCUUGCUAACUGUAGCACUGAUUCCCACUGGAUGUUCCUUUUCAUUCAUGUUAUUUUUUUUCUUUUUGGGUAAUUACAAUUUUAAACAAAUAAGUAAACAAGUCAAAACGAACAAAAUAAAUACAGUGUAAACUGAUUUCUUGGCAAAUAUCUGUCUAUCUUAAAUCCCUAUUGUCUUGUGUAUCAAUCAUUAAUGGAAUACAUCUAUCAUCUGUCUGGUUGACUGUCCAUCUGGAUACAACAGCUUUCAGACCACACUGUGUGACCAUGGCGAAAACAACCAGAAGGGUGAAAUGUUCUGUUUCGAGCUUUCCUCAUUUCUAUUAAGGCAUUGAGUAAAAACCCCUAAAUGUGUUCAACGUUUCACAAAUCAUGGAAGGUCCCUAUCUUUAGAUUUCCCUCUCCACUAGAGCAGGAGGUCAGCUUUACACCCAGGGCCUGGCGGAUCGGGCUGUUGGCCAGCCGGUCGUCAUUAGGAGAAUUUACUUCUUGCUGCCGAGCGCAGGACCAGAUGUGAUGCCCGUCUCCUGGGUUGCCAAACACAGCGAGACGCAUUCUGCACCAGGGGAAACCAUUCUAGAGAGCAGCUCUGUCACUGCCAGGAGGAAACACCGCACAGCUCUCUCCAGCUUGACGGCUCUUAGCCAAAGAGCCAGCUGUUAAGAGAGGAAGUCUGAGUGCCCAGAGAAGAAGAGGUCCUGUGGUUUUUAGGCCAAGAGGGACUCCUCCAAUAUAUAAAGCUCUCGAGUGAAGAGUGAGGCUGCUGAACUGAACAAGGACAUUCACUGAAAUUCGCCUUUGUUGACUCUGUCUACUGUAUCUAUUUAUCUAUCAGCCCAUCUGCACAGUUUCACCAAUCUUUAAUCCACUUGGACAUUUAUCAGAGGUACUUCCUUGUACUCCUGUUGAGUAAAUAAAGCUACAGAGUUGUGAAACUAGUCAAGUGUAUGGUCGAAAAGAAUAUUAUAUAUAUAAAUAAAUAAAUAAAAUAAUCACUUU